rnacentral:rRNA from 1 species
AGGACGAACGCUGGCGGCGUGCUUAACACAUGCAAGUCGAGCGGAAAGGCCCUUCGGGGUACUCGAGCGGCGAACGGGUGAGUAACACGUGAGCAAUCUGCCCUUAGCUUCGGGAUAGCCCCGGGAAACCGGGAUUAAUACCGAAUACGACCUCGGCCGACAUCGGCCUUGGUGGAAAGUUUUUCGGCUAGGGAUGGACUCGCGGCCUAUCAGCUUGUUGGUGGGGUAAUAGCCUACCAAGGCGACGACGGGUAG